rnacentral:lncRNA from 1 species
AUGUUGUCGCUGGCUGAAAGCACCACCACCAGUUCUCGGGCCACUCCUCGAUCAAAGGAAGUUUGUCUCAGAGCGCCGGACAAGACGAUCCCAUUCUGGAAGAGCAAUGAAGGACACAGACGUCAGAGUCCCUGCAGGAUUCCCUCCUGUAGCGAAGCAGAUGAGAUGGACUGUGGUCCCAGAGUGCAGCGGGACAUCGGGAGGCGGAGCCUCCAGCCAUAUCUUUUGAGGGGGGUCUGGUUUAAAAGGGAGAAUCAAAAGUCUGAUUUCAGGGGACUUUUUUGUUGUCUUUUCCUUUACUUCAACAGCUUGGCGACCUUCUCAGGCAUGCUAACAUCCAAAGUUGUAAUAACUAAUGAACUAUCUGGCCUUGAGGAUUUUUUUUUGAAAAAUAAAAUGAAAUGAAAACUUCAUUAACCCAACAGAUGUGCAAUACUUUGACACUCACAAUAGACAGUGAGCAUGUCGCUCUGGCUCUUGGAAAAGUGCGUGCCCUUGCUAAAGGCCUCGCAGGUGAGUUUCAGCCCGUCCUCCUCCCGAGAGACUCUGUGGGUCAUGUUGGACAUGGUUGUCAUCCCGCCGUGGCUCCCCUGCAGAUGGAAAACGCGCAUGGUGGUUCAGGCAGCGGACAGGCGGCUUUGGUCUCUAAUUCUGUCAUGCUUAUAAUCCAAAAGGGGGGGAGGAAGGGACAAAAACAACCCACAAUGCUGCGUCCCAGUGAAUACAGAUGGCAAAUUAGCUGCUGUAAUAACUGAUGUUGUGCAUGGGCUGAGAUAAACAAGCGCACCCGCCCGGCCCGGCCUGCUUUGCAUGCUGCCACAAAUUGAGCAAAGUAUCAUUUUGCACCUGCCUGAUGGCGGCCAUGCCUAUGCAGCACAUCUGGUUAUUAAAGCUAUUAUUGCAGUAAUUACUGUUAAAGCCGCAGCCAAAUAGACAAACAAAGACACCGGACGGGAGCCUCAGUCUUCAUUAACCCCACCCUGUUGCAGAUGCAUUAAAGUUUGCACGCGCAGGCACGGCCGAGCGUCGCGUGUAAGAUCAAAUGGAAACGCCGCCGCCGGAUGAAUAAAGAGCUUGUUUAAUAAUGCUCAUCUUCUGUGUCAGCUUUUAUUCACUUUGAUCUUAUUAACACGCACAAAAGAGAAGAAGAGCAGCCGAGUACUCUUUCUGGGAACGGCUGCUUAUUCAUUUGCAG